CAAUGGAGAAGUAGAGUAUGAGUCAAGAAUUGAGAGAUGAGCAAUAUACAUUAGCAUUAUAAAACACUAAAGAAAGUAUACAUGCCUAGAGCCUCUGAGGCACACUACAAAGAAGAUGACCUGAAAAGUGACUGCUUACAGGGUCCACAUAUAGGUGACAUGAAAGUUCCCUCAGCCUUGUCAGUAUGAAUGAGCCUGUAAAGUGAAGAUGAAUGAGAAAGGGAUUAGAUGAGUCAUCUGAGUCUGUAAGGCCCUUGCAACAAGAGCAUGAAGAUGAUAAAAGAGGACAGAAAGGGAACAAGUUGGGUGAAAAGAAAACAAUGAAUUAGGGUGAAAAGAUCAAGCCAGUGACCAAACUCUCUACAACUAGAAAAGACUUAUCAGUUUCUCAUUUAAGAAGCCAAAUAAGAUAUCAUUUACAUCAAAAAUGAAAAAAUAAGGGGGCAUCUACUUUCUAUAAUAACGACCUGGGAAACUCAGACCAUCCUUCCUUCUGAGGACGCUGAAAAAAACUGAAUCCAAGAACUAACAACAUAUUAAGGAACUGCCAGGUGGUGACCCAGCAUGCUAAGAACACAGCAAGGUAGUGGCUAUAUGCAUACUGGCUUUGUAAUCGUUGCUUAAGCCGUAUUUGUGCUGUGCAUUUUUUAUUAACUCCUAUGCAUCGCCAGGACCCUGAAGGUGUCAUACUCUUCCUGACAGGACCUACCAGCUUGACGGAGAGCUCUAUCCCCAUUUCCUAAAGAAGAAACCUGAUCCUUGGAAAUGUUCAGUGGCUGCCCCAAGAUGUCGGCACAACCUCUUGUGCUCUUGCC
rnacentral:lncRNA from 1 species